CACUAAACCACUGGAUUCUAUAUGGGAAACAUAUUGUGAGAACAAGGGCUCAAAUUGUGAAAGUGAACAUAUAAUAAUUAAAAAAUCAAAUGCACAAAUAUCCCAAGAAUAUUGACAAAAUGUGAAGAAUGCUUUGGUCAAACAAACUUACAACCAACGAGAGAUACGCACUGAUUAGCCACAACAUUAAAACCACCUGCCUAAUAUCGUAUAGGUCCCCCUCGCUGCAAAAACAGCUCUGAUGCAUCAAAGCAUGGACUCCACAAGACCUCUGAAUGUGUCCUGUGGUUUAAGUCCUGCAAGUUGAGAGGUGGGGUCUGUUAUUCCAG